rnacentral:rRNA from 1 species
CCAAGAAAUCUGCCCUAAAUAAGCAUGCAUGUCUAGUAUAAGCUAAUUUAGAGUGAGCCCGCGGAAGGAGCAUUAAAACUUUUUUGGUUCCUUAUAUCUUACUCAGUUACUUGGAUAACUGUGGUAAUUCUAGAGCUAAUACAUGCAAUCAGAACUCUGACCAGUGAUGGGAUGAGUGCUUUUAUUAAAUCAAAACCAAUCGACGGAGGGCCUCGCGUCCGAAGUCGUUAAUUUUGAUGAAUCUGGAUAACUUUUGCCGAUCGCAUGGUCCAGUACCGGCGACGCAUCUUUCAAAUGUCUGCCUUAUCAACUUUCGAUGGUAGUUUCUGCGACUACCAUGGUUGUCACGGGUAACGGGGAAUCAGGGUUCGAUUCCGGAGAGGGAGCCUGAGAAACGGCUACCACAUCCAAGGAAGGCAGCAGGCGCGCAAAUUACCCACUCCCGGCACGGGGAGGUAGUGACGAAAAAUAACGAUACGGGACUCUUACGAGGCCUCGUAAUCGGAAUGAGUACACUUUAAAUAUUUUAACGAGGAACAAUUGGAGGGCAAGUCUGGUGCCAGCAGCCGCGGUAAUUCCAGCUCCAAUAGCGUAUACUAAAAUUGUUGCGGUUAAAAAGCUCGUAGUUGCAUUUGUGCGCCGCGCUGUCGGUGCACCGCAUCCGCGGUGAUACUGACACGUCUGCGGAGCAUAUCGUCUGUGAGCCGGCGGUAAUACGCCGGUUCAAUAUCAAAAAUCCUAUC